GGAAAUGUUAUCAGUUAAGUUAUCAGUUCAAUGUUCCAGAUCUAGAAAUUCAGUAUUUCUGACUAAUCUGCCCAGUUUUCUAUAUUUUUAUGAAUUGACAUAUUUCAUUUUCCAGGCCAAUAUUGUGGCACAUAUAUUCUAUUUAUAUAUUUGUUACUGGCUAAUCUCUAUUUUAGCUGCAUUUAGGAAAUGGAUACAUCUAACGCCUGCACUUGUCAUAUUCACCUUGAUGACUUCUGCUGACCUGAAUGUUAAGUUUUGGAGAGAAUGUUAAAUUCUGC